rnacentral:rRNA from 1 species
GAUGAACGCUGGCGGCGUGCCUAAUACAUGCAAGUCGAGCGAACAGACGAGGAGCUUGCUCCUCUGACGUUAGCGGCGGACGGGUGAGUAACACGUGGAUAACCUACCUAUAAGACUGGGAUAACUUCGGGAAACCGGAGCUAAUACCGGAUAAUAUUUUGAACCGCAUGGUUCAAAAGUGAAAGACGGUCUUGCUGUCACUUAUAGAUGGAUCCGCGCUGCAUUAGCUAGUUGGUAAGGUAACGGCUUACCAAGGCAACGAUGCAUAGCCGACCUGAGAGGGUGAUCGGCCACACUGGAACUGAGACACGGUCCAGACUCCUACGGGAGGCAGCAGUAGGGAAUCUUCCGCAAAGGGCGAAAGCCUGACGGAGCAACGCCGCGUGAGUGAUGAAGGUCUUCGGAUCGUAAAACUCUGUUAUUAGGGAAGAACAUAUGUGUAAGUAACUGUGCACAUCUUGACGGUACCUAAUCAGAAAGCCACGGCUAACUACGUG